rnacentral:rRNA from 1 species
AGCGAACGCUGGCGGCAGGCCUAACACAUGCAAGUCGAACGAACUCUUCGGAGUUAGUGGCGGACGGGUGAGUAACACGUGGGAACGUGCCCUUUGGUUCGGAAUAACUCAGGGAAACUUGUGCUAAUACCGAAUGUGCCCUUCGGGGGAAAGAUUUAUCGCCAUUAGAGCGGCCCGCGUCUGAUUAGCUAGUUGGGGAGGGAACGGCUCACCAAGGCGACGAUCAGUAGCUGGUCUGAGAGGAUGACCAGCCGCACUAGGGCUGAGACACGGCCCAGACUCCUACGGAAGGCAGCAGUAGAGAAUCUUGCGCAAUGGGGGAAAGCCUGACGCAGCCGUGCCGCGUGAAUGAUGAAGGUCUUAGGAUUGUACAAUUGUUUCACCGGGGACGAUAGUGACGGUACCCGGAGAAGAAGCCCCGGCUAACUACGUG